GACGAACUCUGGCGGCGUGCCUAAUACAUGCAAGUCGAACGCAUUUUCUUUCACCGUAGCUUGCUACACCUAAAGAAAAUGAGUGGCGAACGGGUUAGUAACACGUGUGUAACCUGCCCAUCAGCGGGGGAUAACACUUGGCAACAGUUGCUAAUACCACAUAAUUCCAUUUACCGCAUGGUAGAUAGAUUAAAGGCACUUUUGCGUCCCUGAUGGAUGGACCCGAGUUGCGUUGUCUAGUUGGUGGGGUAAAGGCCUACCAAGGCUGCCAUGCAUAACCGACCUGGGAGGGUGAUACGCCCAACUGGGACUGAGACAAGGCCCAGGACCCUACGGGAGGCAGCAGGAGGGAAACUUUGGCAAUAGACGCAAGGCUGAACGAGCAACGACGCGUGAGUGAAGAAGGUUUUCGGAUCGUAAAACUCUGUUGUUAGAGAAGAAAAAGGAUGAGAGUGGAAAGUUCAUCCCUUGACGGUAUCUAAACAGAAAGCCACGGCUAACUACGUG
rnacentral:rRNA from 1 species